rnacentral:rRNA from 1 species
GACGAACGCUGGCGGCGUGCCUAAUACCUGCAAGUCGAGCGCAGGAAACUGACGGAACUCUUCGGAGGGAAGGCAGCGGAAUGAGCGGCGGACGGGUGAGUAACACGUAAGGAACCUGCCUCAAGGAUUGGGAUAACUCCGAGAAAUCGGAGCUAAUACCGGAUAGUUCAACGGAGCGCAAUGUCCGCUGAUGAACGGCGCUUCGGCGUCACCUUUAGAUGGCCUUGCGGUGCAUUAGCUAGUUGGUGGGGUAACGGCCCACCAAUGAGACGAUGCACAGCCGACCUGAGAGGGUGAUCGGCCACACUGGGACUGAGAGACGGCCCAGACUCCUACGGGAGGCAGAAGUAGGGAAUCUUCCACAAUGGACGAAAGUCUGAUGGAGCAACGCCGCGUGAGUGAUGAAGGUUUUCGGAUCGUAAAACUCUGUUGUAAGGGAAGAACACGUACGAGAGGAAAUGCUCGUACCUUGACGGUACCUUACGAGAAAGCCACGGCUAACUACGUGCCAGCCGCCGCCGUAACAC